ensembl:lncRNA
GGGGAGAGAGAGACGUGCCUCUAGCAGGGAGAGAGAGAGACGUGCCUCUAGCAGGGAGGGAGAGAGACGUGCCUCUAGCAGGGAGGGAGAGAGACGUGCCUCUAGCAGGGAGGGAGAGAGACGUGCCUCUAGCAGGGAGGGAGAGAGACGUGCCUCUAGCAGGGAGGGAGAGAGACGUGCCUCUAGCAGGGAGGGAGAGAGACGUGCCUCUAGCAGGGAGGGAGAGAGAGACGUGCCUCUAGCAGGGAGGGAGAGAGACGUGCCUCUAGCAGGGAGGGAGAGAGAGACGUGCCUCUAGCAGGGAGGGAGAGAGAGACGUGCCUCUAGCAGGGAGGGAGAGAGACGUGCCUCUAGCAGGGAGAGAGACGUGCCUCUAGCAGGGAGGGAGAGAGAGACGUGCCUCUAGCAGGGAGGGAGAGAGAGACGUGCCUCUAGCAGGGAGGGGAGAGAGAGGUGCCUCUAGCAGGGAGGGAGAGAGAGAGGUGUGCCUCUAGCAGGGAGGGAGAGAGAG